rnacentral:rRNA from 1 species
GCAAACAGGAUUAGAUACCCUGGUAGUCCACGCCGUAAACGAUGAGUGCUAAGUGUUGGAGGGUUUCCGCCCUUCAGUGCUGCAGCAAACGCAUUAAGCACUCCGCCUGGGGAGUACGACCGCAAGGUUGAAACUCAAAGGAAUUGACGGGGGCCCGCACAAGCGGUGGAGCAUGUGGUUUAAUUCGAAGCAACGCGAAGAACCUUACCAGGUCUUGACAUCCUUUGACCACUCUAGAGAUAGAGCUUUCCCUUCGGGGACAAAGUGACAGGUGGUGCAUGGUUGUCGUCAGCUCGUGUCGUGAGAUGUUGGGUUAAGUCCCGCAACGAGCGCAACCCUUAUUGUUAGUUGCCAUCAUUUAGUUGGGCACUCUAGCGAGACUGCCGGUGACAAACCGGAGGAAGGUGGGGAUGACGUCAAAUCAUCAUGCCCCUUAUGACCUGGGCUACACACGUGCUACAAUGGGAAGUACAACGAGUCGCUAGACCGCGAGGUCAUGCAAAUCUCUUAAAGCUUCUCUCAGUUCGGAUUGCAGGCUGCAACUCGCCUGCAUGAAGCCGGAAUCGCUAGUAAUCGCGGAUCAGCACGCCGCGGUGAAUACGUUCCCGGGCCUUGUACACACCGCCCGUCACACCACGAGAGUUUGUAACACCCGAAGUCGGUGAGGUAACCUUUUUGGAGCCAGCCGCCUAAGGUGGGAUAGAUGAUUGGGGUGAAGUCGUAACAAGGUAGCCGUAUCGGAAGGUGCGGCUGGAUCACCUCCUUU